rnacentral:rRNA from 1 species
CCUACGGGAGGCAGCAGUGGGGAAUAUUGGACAAUGGGGGAAACCCUGAUCCAGCGACGCCGCGUGAGUGAAGAAGUAUUUCGGUACGUAAAGCUCUAUCAGCAGGAAAGAAAAUGACGGUACCUGACUAAGAAGCCCCGGCUAACUACGUGCCAGCAGCCGCGGUAAUACGUAGGGGGCAAGCGUUAUCCGGAUUUACUGGGUGUAAAGGGAGCGUAGACGGCAGCGCAAGUCUGGAGUGAAAUGCCGGGGCCCAACCCCGGAACUGCUCUGGAAACUGUGAAGCUGGAGUGCAGGAGAGGUAA